UACGAAGGGGGCUAGCGUUGCUCGGAAUUACUGGGCGUAAAGGGAGCGUAGGCGGACAUUUAAGUCAGGGGUGAAAUCCCGGGGCUCAACUCCGGGUCUGCAUUCGAUACGGGCGGACUAGAGUUCGGUAGGGGAGACUGGAAUUCCUGGUGUAGCGGUGAAAUGCGCAGAUAUCAGGAGGAACACCAAUGGCGAAGGCAGAUCUCUGGGCCGUAACUGACGCUGAGGAGCGAAAGCAUGGGGAGCGAACAGG
rnacentral:rRNA from 1 species